rnacentral:tRNA from 1 species
UCCCAGGUGGCUCAGUGGUAAAGAAUCCGCCUGCCAAUGAAGGAGAUGCAGGAGACACAGGUUCGAUCCCUGCUUUGGGAA